CUUAAAUAAUUUAAAUAAAAUAUUGAUUUGUGGUGUCAAAAAUGUGAGAUAUAUUCAUUUUAGGUU
rnacentral:tRNA from 1 species